UUCUGUUCCCGGAUUGUCACAUAU
rnacentral:miRNA from 1 species